rnacentral:rRNA from 1 species
GACGAACGCUGGCGGCGUGCUUAACACAUGCAAGUCGAACGGAAAGGCCCUGCUUUUGUGGGGUGCUCGAGUGGCGAACGGGUGAGUAACACGUGAGUAACCUGCCCUUGACUUUGGGAUAACUUCAGGAAACUGGGGCUAAUACCGGAUAGGAGCUCCUGCUGCAUGGUGGGGGUUGGAAAGUUUCGGCGGUUGGGGAUGGACUCGCGGCUUAUCAGCUUGUUGGUGGGGUAGUGGAUUACCAAGGCUUUGACGGGUAGCCGGCCUGAGAGGGUGACCGGCCACAUGGGGACUGAGAUACGGCGCAGACGCCUACGGGAGGCAGCAGUGGGGAGUAUUGCACAAUGGGCGGAAGCCUGAUGCAGAAACGCCGCGUGCGGGAUGACGGCCUUCGGGUUGUGAACCGCUUUCGCCUGUGACGAAGCGUGAGUGACGGUAAUGGGUAAAGAAGCACCGGCUAACUACGUG